AAGUCGUAACAAGGUUUCCGUAGGUGAACCUGCGGAAGGAUCAUUAACACGUAUCCAAACGUUAAAACCCCCCUGUGAACCUUCACCACUUCUUAAGCCCUCCCGGGGGUAGAGCAGGCAAUCCCUAGUAAAUCAUUGUCUUAACAGGUUUUGAGUUAGGGACGUCCCCCACUACGGGACUUGUGCAGAAGACAGUAUUGCCCUGGUGCCCAACAACUGUUAACAAUGGAUAUCUUGGUUCUC
rnacentral:misc_RNA from 1 species